GUUCUGGGAGGAUGGUGAAAAAAUUAGUUAACAGCCCUGAUAUAGAGAAAGCAGCUCAAUAUAUAUUAACUUGGCUUUUCUGCAUAGAUUCGAAAUGCUGUGCCACCUACUUCCCCACAUAGGUAGUAUGUAGUAAGCCCUGAUGUCCCACAAACUGCCACACUUCCACCCCCCAUGGAGGAACAAGCAGCACCAGUGGAUCAGAUGAUACCAUUGGUACUACAUGUAGUUCCAGUAUAGGAUAUCCACCAGAUUCUCACAGCCUCACCGGAGGGCAGGACCUACCUUUGAGACAAAAAUGCCUUGGCUUCAUCUUUAGUUCAGGCAUUUCCCUGCUUGAAAGACACAUCAGGCAGUGGUAGUAAUCUACCAUAUCUGAAGAGGGAGUCAAACAGCUAAAAGAAUGGUUGAGACACAAUUCUCAGCCCCUCAGCCAGGUGGAGGCAUAGAUGCAGCCCUGUACAGGGCACAGUUGAUAAGGGGAAAUAAUUAUAUGUGGGAUCCUCCAAGAGUUCCCAUAUCUAACAUCUCCAGGCAUGGUUGAUUACCUGGAAUACCUCCAAUAGACUUAGGUGUUGAGGCCAUACUCCUACAUCCUGACACUGGAUGAUGACUACCAGUGCUCCUCUCAGGCAUUUGUCAUUCUGGGGGGGCAGGCUUUGGAGCAAAGCACACUGCUUGGGGCAGUUGAUGUGUGCUUCAAGGCAUUUUAUAUCUUUGACAUUAACUACCCCAAAGCAGUGUGCUCCUGCAUGGGACCCAAAAAGUGGUCUAUGAAA